rnacentral:tRNA from 1 species
GGGGAUUUAGCUCAGAGGUAGAGCACUUGCCUAGCAAGCGCAAGGCCCUGGGUUCGAUCCCCAGCUCCA